AGAUCCRRUUUUCUGCCACCGAAUACAUUAGCAUGGGAUAAUGGAAUAGGACCCUGUCCUGAAAAUCAAWKGGUUUUGGCAGCGCGAGGACUAGGGUAAUGACUAAWAGAGGRUAGUUGGGGGCAUUAAUAUUUAAUUGUCAGAGGUGAAAUUCUUGGAUUUAUGAAAGAUUAACUUCUGCGAAAGCWUCUGCCAAGGAUGUUUUCAUUAAUCAAGAACGAAAGUUAGGGGAUCGAAGACGAUCAGAUACCGUCGUAGUCUUAACCAUAAACGAUGCCGACCAGCGAUUAGGAGACGUUGAAUACAAAACACCACCAUCGGCGCGGUCGUCCUUGGCGUCUCGGUCCUUCACGGGGCCGGGGCGCGGGGGCGGCUUAGCCCGGUGGCACCGGUGAAUGACUCCCCUAGCAGCUKGUGAGAA
rnacentral:rRNA from 1 species